rnacentral:lncRNA from 1 species
UUCUUGACCAAAAUUGGCCACUAGAGUGAGAGUAAGAAAGGGCUAGCCGAUUUCAUGAGUUGUAGAAUUCUCUCAAGUUAUUCUAAGUGUUUUGGUGAUUGUGAUUCCAUUUGAGGCUUCCACACUAUUGGGGCUAGGCACUCAAGCUUCAUGAAGACUUUCUACAUCAAAGAGGUAUGUAUUCUAUCUUGUUACACUCAUUGUUUUGUAUGCUAGAUUAGGAUAAUACCUUGGAAGUUCUUAUUUGCAUGUAUAAUAGAGAAAACAUAGAUCCAAGGUAUUUAGGGUUGCAUGUACACUUAGGAGUGUUAGAAUGCUCAAAACCCAACAGUGGUAUCAGAGCCUAGGCUUGUUUUCUUGUUAUACCUGCAAUAGAAGCUGAAAAAACGAAUUUGGUGCUGUCUGAUCAUCAGACUCGGCGAGUCCAUCAGAGGACUCGGCGAGUCCAUGCCUAAAAUGUGAUCAAUUCGAUCCAACUCGCCGAGUUGGUUCAUGCACUCGACGAGUUGGACCCCCAGACAGCAUAUUUUCGAGUUUUUUGGCUAGAAAUGGACUAGGAACAUUACCCUAAGUUGUUUUUGAACUUAUAAACUUGUUUUUGAUGUGGUAAUGUUCAUGCUAAUCCAUUUUCAAAGAUAAUUGUCAAUAGAUUCAUGUUUUGUAUUAGUUUAAGGUUUAGACUAAUUACAUGAAAAAGUUUGAUUUGAAUUAUCUUGUUCUUAUGAGUUGCUUAGAUUAAUAGAAAUGUUAAUUGAAAUAGUUGUUUUCAAUCCAUUUUAAUCUAAGAGUUGAGUAUAAAAUGUGUUUGUGUAACUUGUCCUCAAGUUACAUGAAGAGUCACAUUAAAGACUCAUAAAACUCAUAAAAGUUGGCAAUGGUUACAAAAUGAAGAGUCUUGUGUCAUUGAAUAAUUUUUUUUGACUCCAUAACUUGUCCUCAAGUUAUGGAAGUUCAAGAGUCACUUCAUUAAAGAAAAAUAUGUAACCAUAAUUAAAUCCAUAAGUUAUAAAAUAAAGAAAAAGUUAGUUCUUUUAUUAGUUUAAAGUCUUCCAUAACUUGUCCUCAAGUUAUGGAACUUGAAGAGUUUUUGGAUUAAAACUACUUUAAACACAUAAGUUAUGGAAUUAAUUAGUUUUGAAUAGUUUCAAAACUUGCCCUCAAGUUUUGGAAUUUGAAAAGUUUUCACUUAUGAAUACUUUAAUUCCAAGUUAGCCCUUAGAAUUUUAAAAGUUAAAAUUCAACCCUUAUACUUUAUAAUAUUAUAAGUUAAUAAUAUAUAUAUGUAUAAGAGUAAAGUCAGUCUUACCGCUAGUACGCCUCAUUCACGAAGCCGGUCUAUAAGGUGGGUAUAAGGUUGUUGCCUAUAAAAUGGCAACUUAAUGGGUGUCCACUCUCACCCACCGCUUGCUUGACUGGUGGAGGGUCGUUAGCCGAACGGGUUUGACAGGACUAGAAUUCUCCCUUCAUUAAAAGUAUUAAUGAUAAUACUAAGUAACUAAACUCUUAAUAAUACCCAAUCUUAGUUACUUAGGAAAAAUGUGAAUAAGGUGCUAAUCCAUGAAAUUACACUUUACACUUUGUCUAAGUCGUUAGUGGAGCGUGUGUGGUUAACCGGCACACUAACUUGGACUUAACAAGGUAGGUAAAGGGUGACUUAAUAUUUAUCAUAGUAUCGAUGGAGCGUGUGUGGUUAACCGGCACAUCGAUUGAGGGGUAAUUUAUUAAGGGUACCAAGUGAUUUGCAUGGUUACUUCACACCUUGUUUUGUGAUCCUCGGCAUCCCAGUCACAAAACCUGAAGGGCACACUCGAGAUUGAAACAUGCCUUUGAAAAGUUCAAUGAAUCUCAAAGAUCUAGGAGUUUCAAAACCAAUUAAAACCUAAUAAUACAUUUCGUUUAUCUUGGUGGAAAUUGGUGAAUCGUCAUUCACCUACCUUCAAAUAUUUUAUAGCUUGGAUUACGGCAUACCUCUUCUAAGUUAUAAAAUAGUUUGUUGGGUCCUAGCCUUAAUAUUUCAUAUUGGGUGUCAUAUUAAGGACUUUAAAUCAACUAUCUUGAAUAUCUCCCAAAAGAUGUCUGGUUUAGACACCUAUGAUCUUCCCAAAUCUCUUGAAACAAGGUUUCCUAAUGAAGAUGAUGUCCCAUGGAUAUCAUACUUCUUCACCUCUUCAAAUUAUUCUCCCUAACCCACAAGUUCUUGAAAAGUUUAAGGUCACUCAGGCCCUAUUGGCAAGGCAAGGUCUAGGUGUGGUCACAUCUUGGAGAUGUAGUCACAUAUUGACAAGCCGGGAGAGUUGGGUGUCAAAGUCUUGAGAAAGUUGGUGGUUCAACCACUUUCUAAGUCACAUAGUGAGUUCCUUUGGGACACCUAUGAAACAGACUAUGACAAGACCCUUAAUGAUCUUAUCUAUUUGCUAAGAUCAACUUCCUAAAACUUUAUGGACAUUGACAAUGAUGACAUUGGAUAUCCAGUAAAGCAUUCUCUUCCCAAUGGAAAGGGAUCGGCCAUAGUCAACUCGGUUGACCAAAUGGUAAAGAGAAAAGCUAAGUCUGUGAUAGUCCCGUGUACCAUUAUCAAAGGGUCCAUAUGUUUAUAUUGCCAAAGGAAGGGGCAUUGGUUGCGAAGCUGCCAAAUUUACCUAAGGAUGUUAAAGUCAAUAAGUUUGACUCUACUUCAGGUAAAGUCCACUAUCUAACUCUGUUAAGUUUCUAUUCUGAGAUUCUUGAUACAUGAUGUGACUGGGUCACAUGGUGAUGUUUUAAGAAUCAAAGAAAAGUGAAGAAACUUAAAGAAAGAAUAUGCUGAAUCUGAUGGCGUAGAUGGAUUUCUAUCGCAUAGUUUGAAGAUCGGAUUCUUGAGCUACUUCUUAGGAGUUAUGAGAUAUUGCUUAGGAAUAGAUAACAACAAGUUUUCAUAUGGAUUGUAAGGAUAAGUUUUUCCGCAAAGUUUUAAAAUAAAAGAAAAUUUUUUAUUUUAUUUAUUUUAAAAUAUCCUUACAAUGGCAUUUGAGGAAAAAUUGUUGCUUAUAUGAUUCCAUUAAGAGCAAGAGUGGAAAUAUGAAAUUGAUUCUUUCAUUUGUGGUAAUGUCUAAAUUUACCAAAUAAGGAAAGAUUCUCAUCACCCAAGUUUCAAUUGGACCGGAACUUGGAAUCAUGCAAGUUGUAUAGCAUGAUGAAUGAGAACUUUCAAGUUUUGGAAAAUUAAGACUAAUUACUUGUUCACAUGGAUGUGUGAGUCAAGUAAAGGACUUAGGGAUCGAGUACACAUUCUUGUGCACUGAUUAAGUCCACCACUAAAGAUCGAUAAGAAGAAUCAAAUAAGGCAGAAGGAUAAAAGUUUCUCAAAUCUGAAAAGAUGGGAGAGUACUUUAGUAUCAGUUUUGUGAUCAUCUUAAUGAUUAAGAAACCAUAUCAAAAUUAGUUCUCUAAGGAAAUCUUAGUGCAUUCUUAUGACUAAGAAGAGGAACUUGAAUUGUUGAAAUGGUUAAAUCAAGAAGAUGAGUCAUACUUCGUUCCAAUACAAGUCUUAGAGUCAUACUCCAAGAUUGUCAUUUGAGUGACAUGUCUUAAAGAAGGUUUAAAACACUUGUCAAAUGUAAGAGUAAAAGUUUUCUACUCUUGUACAUUUGAAAUUGGUAAGUUGUGAUGUUUUGGAUAAAACAAAGACCAACUUAGGCCAAUUGGGUAAAGUGUUUUUCUUGAUUAGAAUCCGCACUAUCUCUUGGAUGUUUGACAAGGGAGUCUUAUAUGUCAAGAGGACAGUGGGAGUCUUAAAGGUCUUGAAAGUCUCAAGAAAUAAUCAAGAAUAAAACCUAAAGUUCUUCACUAGCACACGACUUGAGGUUUAUAACCUAUCGUGUUGACAUAUCUGUGCCCAUUCCAGUUAAAGUUGGCUUUGCAUAUGAGUUCUUAGAGUUCUCAGUUUGUUGCAUAACAACUUGGAAGCAAUGGCAGGCCCUUGAGCUGCCAGGUGGCAAGAAGUUAAGAUUGAGUUCAAUCCAUAUGGUUUUGGAUUUGUCAUUAUCUUUGUCUUGUGAUUAUGGUUUGACAAAUUCAUAUGGGUAGGAACUCAUACACCAUAUAAAUCUAAGUGUCAUAAGGUUUCUCUCCGAUUCAUGAAAAUGAUGGUGAGGAAACGCUUUCACUAAGUAGAUUUUACGAAGAUAUCAAUUGUGUUAUUUGCAUUUUCAAAAGUCGUUAGUGGAGCGCGUGUGGUUAACCGGCACACUAACAUGGACUUGUGAGAAAUGGCAAAUGCCUAAGCAAUUGAGACCAUGAUUACGGUAUCCCUUUUCAUGGUUCUUGAAAUUGCUUAGACACACAGGUGAGCUAUCUACGGAAAGGGUGUAUGAAUCUAAAUUUCAGACUGUCCAGCUGAUUUCUGAGUACAUGUCAAAGCUAGUGGGAGCAUAAGUGUUAUGCUAAUAAUCAUCAUGUUAGUGGGAGCAUGAUAAUUAUGAUAAGUAUUGCAAGUUAGCAAUGUUAAUUAUAGAAAACAAAAGUUUCAAUUGGGAAAAAGUUGUUUUGCUAUAAUUAAGGGAGAGGAAAUUAUGCUUCAUCUCAAAUCUAUAAGCUUAGAUCGUGAGGUUUUAAUCAUUUAGUCAAGGAUAUAUAUGAAUUUCAUGUUGGAAUGGCUCAACAUAAGGAAAUUCUGUAUAUGGGUCCAUUAUUUGCGUUCUAAAAUUCGAUUAUGAUUACGGCAUCCCUUUUCAUAAUCUGAAUUAUGAGAACUUGGCAAAUUGAAAUGGAAAUAUUAUAGCAAAAGACUGGUUUAGUCUUUAUGUAAGACAUCAUGAAUCGUGUCCCAUAUGCUUCGGAUAUAGGAUCGAUUACAUGUGCUAUAUUCAUCCGUUCUAAAAUUUUCCAAAUGCCUGGGGCAUUAAGAAGGGAAAAGGUUUAGAACUGGAUAUGACUAAAAGGAUUAAACAAUUGUCGAGGACAAUCUAAGGUUUACCAAAGAUUGGUUACUCAAGGACAAUUGGAAGUAUAGUGAUAAUUCUGGAAGGACCAUAUUGACAUAAUCUGUAAGGAGGCAACUCUUGUUCAGAAGUGAUAGUCAAAAUGGAAUCUGGAAAUGUUUCAAAGUUAGAAUUUUCAAUCUGUGUAAGAUUAAGGAAACUUAAUGCAAGAAGGAUAUUUCCAAGGAGUUGAUCUCCUUUGGAAUACUCUGUAAUGAUUGUUGCCAAGUCUUUGUGACUUUGUGCAUAAUCAUUACAAGAGGAUCAAUGCAUAUAAGUUUAGAAUCUAACAGAUUUCAGUAAAUGGCAUGAAUUUGGAAUUCUUGCAUUUGCAGUAAGGAUUUGGGAGUGUGAAAAGAGAAUCAUUGAAGUUAUGUUCAAUUGAUCUAGUUCACAAAGUAAAGAUCAUAGACAAACAUAGUAUGCAUACUUGGUGUGUGGCAUGACUAGUGUUUAAGAAAACAUAGUGUACAUGCUUGGAGCAUGGGACAACUAUUGUUUUAAAUUCAAGAAUAAAGUUGAUAGCUGAAACAGUAUACAAUGAAUAAUGUGUAAUCAUAUGGUGAUAAAUAAAAGGUGUUUUAUUUAUGUUCAAAGGGUUGAUACCAUAUUGGAUUCAAUUAUUAUUGUGUUUCAUUUUGCAUGUUUUGACUUCCCGAAUAAACUGGGUUAUUCUUCCGGAAUGACUAAGUUAUUCAAACCAUCCACAGUCGGUCAUAUGUUGGAAGUAGAUAUGAAUUAAGACUGUCAUGGGUUGGCUUGUAGAGGUCUAAGGUGUUGGACAAAGGGCUACAACACUCAUGAGUGCUCAUAAGUUCUGAGUAUUGGAUUCAACCCGCGCUCAUUGGAAUCACUUCAUGGAUUUUAUCACGAGUGAUCAUGAGACGAUAAUAUCUUAUAUUCUUCAAACCUAGAGAUAUGAGUUGUUACUAUGAGUUGAUAGUACAUUGAUUGCACGAAAACGCAUUUGGUAACUCGGUGCUAUAAAACGUGCCUUUGUGUAUGAUUCAACAAGUAGUAGAACAAGCCAUAUGAGUCGAAGUUUAUCCAUUCCUUUUACCUUCGGGAUAAAAGCGAUAUCUGUGGGCCCCUCGAUGAUUUGAUGAUGACAAAUGGAAGUGCUCGGCCGGGCCAGGACUGAUUUGAUUUGUUCAAUUAGUCAGUCGUCAUAAAUCGGAAAUCGGGAAACAACAAAUGGACAGAGAGAAUGAUUAUAAUCCAUGUCUCAGUCCAUAUGAUAUCUAGAAUGGAGGAAUAUAUGAUCCCUUAUCUAAUGGACAAGUCAUUGACAAAGGUCAGAGUUCAUCUACAAGGUCAGAGUUCGACAGAAGCUUUUGAGAGCUACGAUUGCCAGUUGGUUCCUGAAGUCAUACGCAAUAAUAGUUUUAGACUUAUCCAAGUGGGAGACUGUUGGAUUAAUGUCUAAGUCCAUAACUAUAAUUGGUAAGACUUGACCCGACCCGGCAUGGUCCAUUUGGGUUGCAUACCAUCAUGCACUUGGAUAGACUAUAAUGAGAGAAAUAAGACACUUAUGGUUAUUAAUAUAUUAUAAGUUCUAGUAUAUUAAUAAUAAGAAUAAUAAGAUUAUUUAAUUAGUAUUGAUCAAGAAUUAAUCUAGGAUUAAUUAACUGAUCAAAAGAAGACUAAUUAAAUAUAUGGGUUGAUUGUGUAAAUCAUCCAUACUUGUAUAGUGGGCUAAUGCUCCAUGUAUAAUCAAGUUGGGCUAAAACCCAUAGGAUGGUCCAUGGAUGCUCCAUGGUGUAUUUGUACCCAUGGAUCAUGGAAAUGAAAGACCAUGUCAAUUAGGGCUUACAUGGUGUAACCCUAACUAUAUAAGCAUCUUAUUCUUGACCAAAAUUGGCCACUAGAGUGAGAGUAAGAAAGGGCUAGCCGAUUUCAUGAGUUGUAGAAUUCUCUCAAGUUAUUCUAAGUGUUUUGGUGAUUGUGAUUCCAUUUGAGGCUUCCACACUAUUGGGGCUAGGCACUCAAGCUUCAUGAAGAAUUUCUACAUCAAAGAGGUAUGUAUUCUAUCUUGUUACACUCAUUGUUUUUGUAUGCUAGAUUAGGAUUAUACCUUGGAAGUUCUUAUUUGCAUGUAUAAUAGAGAAAACAUAGAUC